rnacentral:rRNA from 1 species
GACAGAGGCCCCGAGCGUUAAUCGGAAUUACUGGGCGUAAAGCGCGCGUAGGCGGCUUUGCAAGUCGGGUGUGAAAUCCCCAGGCUCAACCUGGGAACUGCAUUCGAGACUGCAUUGCUAGAGUAUGGGAGAGGGAAGUGGAAUUUCCGGUGUAGCGGUGAAAUGCGCAGAUAUCGGGAGGAACACCAAUGGCGAAGGCAGCUUGCUGGGACGGUACUGACGCUGAGGCGCGAAAGCGUGGGGAGCAAACAGG